UACGUAGGUGGCGAGCGUUAUCCGGAAUUAUUGGGCGUAAAGAGCGCGCAGGUGGUUGAUUAAGUCUGAUGUGAAAGCCCACGGCUUAACCGUGGAGGGUCAUUGGAAACUGGUCGACUUGAGUGCAGAAGAGGGAAGUGGAAUUCCAUGUGUAGCGGUGAAAUGCGUAGAUAUAUGGAGGAACACCAGUGGCGAAGGCGACUUUCUGGUCUAUUAUUGACGCUGAGGCUCGAAAGCACGGGUAGCAAACAGGAUUAGAUACCCCCGUA
rnacentral:rRNA from 1 species